rnacentral:rRNA from 1 species
UUCGCUCUAUAACCCUUUGUGAACAUACCUAUAACUGUUGCUUCGGCGGGUAGGGUCUCCGUGACCCUCCCGGCCUCCCGCCCCCGGGCGGGUCGGCGCCCGCCGGAGGAUAACCAAACUCUGAUUUAACGACGUUUCUUCUGAGUGGUACAAGCAAAUAAUCAAAACUUUUAACAACGGAUCUCUUGGUUCUGGCAUCGAUGAAGAACGCAGCGAAAUGCGAUAAGUAAUGUGAAUUGCAGAAUUCAGUGAAUCAUCGAAUCUUUGAACGCACAUUGCGCCCGCCAGCAUUCUGGCGGGCAUGCCUGUUCGAGCGUCAUUUCAACCCUCAAGCUCUGCUUGGUGUUGGGGCCCUACAGCUGAUGUAGGCCCUCAAAGGUAGUGGCGGACCCUCCCGGAGCCUCCUUUGCGUAGUAACUUUACGUCUCGCACUGGGAUCCGGAGGGACUCUUGCCGUAAAACCCCCAAUUUUCCAAAGGUUGACCUCG